rnacentral:rRNA from 1 species
AGCGAACGCUGGCGGCAGGCCUAACACAUGCAAGUCGAACGGACCCUUCAGGGUUAGUGGCGGACGGGUGAGUAACACGUGGGAACGUGCCCUUUGGUUCGGAAUAGCUCCUGGAAACGGGUGGUAAUGCCGAAUGUGCCCUUCGGGGGAAAGAUUUAUCGCCAUUGGAGCGGCCCGCGUCUGAUUAGCUAGUUGGUAGUGUAACGGACUACCAAGGCGACGAUCAGUAGCUGAUCUGAGAGGAUGAUCAGCCACAUUGGGACUGAGACACGGCCCAAACUCCUACGGGAGGCAGCAGUGGGGAAUCUUGCGCAAUGGGCGAAAGCCUGACGCAGCCAUGCCGCGUGAAUGAUGAAGGUCUUAGGAUUGUAAAAUUCUUUCACCGGGGACGAUAAUGACGGUACCCGGAGAAGAAGCCCCGGCUGACUUCGUGCCAGCCGCCGCUGUAA